AUAGCAACACUGACGGCCUUCGAGACCAACUCUCUGUCACAGACUCACAGAGUCACAGUGUGAUUCUUGUCAUCAUCACCAAAAAUAAUUAUAUAUCAUAAUAUAUAUCAAUAAUUAUAGGGCAAUUUAAGAUAAUUAUUUUCAUAGUUUCAAAGAGUGUCUGUGAUUAACAAGGUCUUGACUGGACUCACCCACCACUUUUACAAUAAAGGAAUCAAAGAAAUCUACUGUUGUCAUGUAAAUAGCUGGUUACAUUCUCAUUAAUGACGUAGAUUUUCAAAUAUUGUUAUAUUGUGUAAUCACCGCAUCAUCUUAAUCAACAAGUAUCCAUUGAACAUUAAAAAGCAAUUUCACUAUCAGAGCUGGACUACCUGAUCAUCAUCAGGACAUUGAUAUCUAUAUUGACUUAUUGACAAUAUUUCAA